CGUGCGGGCCGACCGCGCAGGCGCAGUUCCAGCGCGCCGGCCCCCGCCCCCGGUUCGGGCCACCCGGGCUGGUGCGGGGUCGAGUCGUCGGCGGGGUGGGUUGCAGCGGUGUUGCUGGUGGAUCGGCCGUUGGCGGCCGACCGGACGCAUACGUGCCGGGGCGCCGAGGGCUGCGGCGUGACGGGCGCCCGGUUCUGCCUGUAGGUGCGCGCAGGUGCCGGCAAGUGCGCGGGGCGCGGCCCCCAGAGCGGCCGGCCGCGGAGCCUCGGGAGGGGACACGGGUUCGAGCCCUGGUCUGGGAGGAUCCCACAUGCCGUGGAGCAACUGGGCCCGUGAGCCACAACUACUGAGCCUGCGCGUCUGGAGCCUGUGCCCCUCAACAAGAGAGGCCACGACAGUGAGAGGCCCACGCACCGCGAUGAAGAGUGGCCCCCGCUCGCCACAACCAAAGAAAGCCCUCGCACAGAAACGAAGACCCAACACAGCCAAAAAUAAAUAAAUAAAUAAAUUUAAAAAAAAAAAAAAAACUUAACUCCUGUGGGGGCCGGGGGAACAGAGCCCCUUCCUCUGAAGUGGCCGGCUCCGGAGAGGCCUCGGGCCGGCGGGCUGGGGCUUCCGAGCAGCCGCUCGGGAGAAGCCCAGCGCAGCAGGUGCUGAACACACGGAACUCGGGCUCUCUUUCGGUAUUUGUAAGAUCCGGACAUUUCACGUAUAGUUUCCUAAUACAAAUUUAUGCGCAGACCAAAUAAAUUCUGCAGAGUGA